rnacentral:tRNA from 1 species
GGAGAGGUGGCCGAGUGGUUGAAGGCGGCUGACUCGAAAUCAGCUGAAGGCAAUUAGCCUUCCGCAGGUUCGAAUCCUGUCCUCUCCG